rnacentral:lncRNA from 1 species
AAUGCUUUAUGUUGUGUUUUCUACCAAAAUUCCUUCAAGUUCAGACUCCUUCAGCUGGCCCCCGAGGCCAACUUCAGCCAAAGUCCACACAAACGUCCCACUUUAACUAAAACUGGUUUGCUGAGGUCAACCUGUGACCCCGGGUCCCCGCCCAGACCUCUCCUCUCCUCUCCUGGAGCUGCAAGGUGCAGGAGACACAGCCCCUGCGCUGACUGCCCCAGUUCUGUUCAGCAUGUUGUAGAGACAGGGUCCUGUUGUAGGAGUCGUGUCCAGCCAGCGUGGGCGCCUGACGGUGAUGGCGUGUCCGCAGGAGCUGGCCGCUGCCGCCAGGUGUGGGCUGAGGCUCCACGCCCCACCUGCGCCCCAGCUUCGGUCUCCGGUCCCUGGAGCGCAGCUGCCGUCGGGUUGAGCGUGUGCGCAGCAGUCUCUGCUCACAGGGAGUUUCGCGAUGGAGAUCUGGAGCUCCUGGAAGAAAGGGCGGUGGGGACGCUCCCUGCCUUCUCCAGGCAACGGUGCCCUCCCGGACGUGACCCCAGAAGCACCAGGAGCAAAAUAGCAGACAGACGGGGGACCUCAGACCGCCGGGGACGGCUGGAUCGGAAGUCCUGGUGUUCACCCAGGGAGCGUGCGAGUGAAGGCAGGGAGGACGCACAUGGCGGGCCGGGCAGCGUCGCAGCCAAGAACGAGGGCCCACUCCGCGUUCACACAGGAGUUGAUCCGUAUGAGCCCACGUUUUUCCUCCCGCUUCCUCUUACUCUGAGUGGUGCUGAGCAGGGGCUUCCAGUGCAGAAUUCCUGCAGGUCCUCCCAGCACUUGAGUGGCACGCUGUUCCUGGACCUAAACAAUCCCCACUUCCCCGGGAUGGGGCAGGUCUCCCUAAGCUGCCCCUGGGGGAGGUCUGGGACCAAGCUAAGGAGGCUCUGCAGCUUGGGCAAGUCUUUUCGAUUUCCAAAUGCUGGCUGCUUCCAAGGCAUGCUUCCAUUGCUGCUUCUCAUUCUAUCACAUAAAAUUCCCGUUUCUAUUUUUUAG